AGCCUCCCUUAUACCACCGACAGUACGAAGGGUACGAGUACCCCGGUUCUCAGCCCUAUGGAGGGCCAGGUGCCUCGCAAGGGGCUCCAUUUCAAGGAACCCAGUUUACCUCUAUGCCACCAGCUGGAGGGACUUUAGGAUCACAACAGUUCACCGGAGUGGGGCCGUCUUCGUAUCACCCUAUGCCGCCACCAGGAGGAUAUGAAGAAUCUUCUUCCUAUCCACCACCACCACCACC